rnacentral:rRNA from 1 species
GAAUUGCAUUCGAUACUGGUCAGCUAGAGUAUGGGAGAGGAUGGUAGAAUUCCAGGUGUAGCGGUGAAAUGCGUAGAGAUCUGGAGGAAUACCGAUGGCGAAGGCAGCCAUCUGGCCUAAUACUGACGCUGAGGUACGAAAGCAUGGGGAGCAAACAGGAUUAGAUACCCUGGUAGUCCAUGUCGUAAACGAUGUCUACUAGCCGUUGGGGCCUUUGAGGCUUUAGUGGCGCAGCUAACGCGAUAAGUAGACCGCCUGGGGAGUACGGUCGCAAGACUAAAACUCAAAUGAAUUGACGGGGGCCCGCACAAGCGGUGGAGCAUGUGGUUUAAUUCGAUGCAACGCGAAGAACCUUACCUGGCCUUGACAUAGUAGAAACUUUCCAGAGAUGGAUUGGUGCCUUCGGGAAUCUACAUACAGGUGCUGCAUGGCUGUCGUCAGCUCGUGUCGUGAGAUGUUGGGUUAAGUCCCGCAACGAGCGCAACCCUUUUCCUUACUUGCCAGCAUUUCGGAUGGGAACUUUAAGGAUACUGCCAGUGACAAACUGGAGGAAGGCGGGGACGACGUCAAGUCAUCAUGGCCCUUACGGCCAGGGCUACACACGUGCUACAAUGGUCGGUACAAAGGGUUGCUACCUAGCGAUAGGAUGCUAAUCUCAAAAAGCCGAUCGUAGUCCGGAUUGGAGUCUGCAACUCGAC